rnacentral:lncRNA from 1 species
UGUGCCCCUCCCUUCCCUGCUGCAGCCACCCGGAGUCCAAAGGCAAGGCUUUAGGAAGGAGAACACAGAGUAAGGAGGAAAAUACAACCUGAUCGUGUUAGCUCAUUCGAUCAUGGAGUCUGUCUAUUGUAGUUUCACCAAAGAAGAAUCCUUUGACAUUCUGGGUAACGGGCAUAAUCCUGGUGGCAACAUUCCCAAAACUGAGUGGAGGGCUGAGUGGGAGGGAUCUGACUAUUCAGAAAGCAGGUUUUCACUUAAUUCACCUGCUCUCCAUCUAGGUUCUGUGUCCUCAACUCCGACUGGAAUCUCCAAGUUCAGAGCCUCCUGGGUCAGUGUCUCCAAGGAGUAACUCUCCUGCCUUCUGCAGGGUGGCUGUGCCACACCCUGGCCUUUGGUGCUUCUGAUUGCA